rnacentral:rRNA from 1 species
GACGAACCGAGCGAACGUUAUUCGGAAUCACUGGGCUUAAAGGGCGCGUAGGCGGGCGAUCAAGUCAGGGGUGAAAGCCCCCAGCUCAACUGGGGAAGUGCCUCUGAUACUGGUCGUCUCGAGGGAGGUAGGGGCGUGCGGAACUUCCGGUGGAGCGGUGAAAUGCGUAGAUAUCGGAAGGAACACCGGUGGCGAAAGCGGCGCGCUGGACCUCUUCUGACGCUGAGGCGCGAAAGCCAGGGGAGCGAACGGG